ACCCUCUCAGGAUCGCAUCUGGAGAAUUUCCAGUACUCUACCAAUCUCGACUGUGGGAGAGAGAGCCAAAUAGAGGCCUACCCAUUCCAUUCCUAGCUUGGGCAGUGGCUAGCGAAUGGAAGGCAUUCUGUUACAAUU